GGUGUCGCGUUAUAGUGGUUAUCACAUCUGUCUAACACACUUAAGGCCGGUGGUUCGAGUCCGCCCGAGAUCA